rnacentral:lncRNA from 1 species
AUUAUUUCUUCAGUGUUAUUGUUUUCGGAGCCACAUUCUGUUGCUUAUUUGCUAGAACUAAUCAAUCAAAGGGCACCAUUCUUUUCUUUUUUUUUUUGUUUUUGAAACCAAAGCUGUCUCAGAAAUGGCCAAUUUAACUCUACAGUAACAAUAGACAGCACAACACAAACUCAAUACAGAUAACCUUUCACAUACUGGAGAUAUAUAUAAUAGAUAUAUGAAAUUAUUUUAAUGCAUUGUAGUGUAAUAUUUAUGCAUACUCUACUAUAUAACAUGUUAUUCAAAAGGGAUAUGCCAUUUCUGAGACACAAUAACAAAAAAUGUUUGAGGAAAUUAUUUUGCUUCUAUUUAUAGCCUCUGUCAAAAGUCAAAAGACUAUAAAUGCUUUGCAGAAAUGGGUUCACGUUUGCGUAAAUGCUUCAUCACAGUCACAUUCAAAAUAGUGACUCUAAACCAAGAGAACAGCACUGUCAUCAGAUGCAUGAUAAACCAAAAUAUGAAAAUGGGAAAUGUUUAAUUAACCUAGUAAUUGGGUGGGUUAAGUACAUGGGUGAAUUUUAUAUGUGAUUCUUUUGUUCAGAUUAACUGCUUAUAGCCUUAGAAAGCCUUUUAAAAAUUUUAAAAUAGAUGUGCAUUCAGUUUUUAAGAAUGGAUUCAUCCAAAGGAAUUCCCCUUUUUGUGGUUUGGAUGUUACAGCUAGUAAAGGAUAUUUUUGCUCUGCUCAGCAGUUCUAGAAAUCGCUGAGUAGGGGCCAGGUCACUGGCAGUGCUAGUGUGGGAUGGGAGAGGUGAGAGUUCUGUUAUAGAACUUUCCAUACUCCCAAGUUUACUGCAAGUUUUUACGCUUGAGAGAGACGCUUUCUAAUAUAAGACUGAUGUGUUGAUUUUACUGAUUGUACUGUACAUCUAUUAAAGCCUUAGAUUAUUACAUUACGGGUUGGAACCCAUACCAAUGUAAUUUCAAUCGUGUUAAGAGAGUAAUGGUGACUUCACAUGUUAUUGUAGUUAGUUACAUUAUAGAAUAUUACUUAUUUUUCUUGUUAAAAUGUAGUUUUUCAUUUCCUACAUUUCUUAGAUUUUCAUUUUCUAUUAACAGUUGAAUACCAUUUCAGUUUUUAGAUUAUUGUUUUAUUAGAUUUUACCAAUGAAUUUUUCAAAAUACAAAAAAAUUAAAGUAGUUUUUCUUCAUAACAUAAUCAGUUUUAAAUUACAUGUAGUGUCAUAUGAAUAUCCAUAUUAUUGUCAACUAAAUGAUUUAUAUUUUACUGAUUUAAUAUUACAGUGUAAGAAUGUCAGUCAUUGUUCUUGUCUAGUUUUCAUUAAAAGAACAAAGAUCUUUUAUAUGGAUAUCUUAUAAAUAUAUAAUCAUUGCUAAGUAAGAAGUUAAGUUGUUGCUAUGGCAACAAUCCUGGCAGACAAUUGAGUAAUAUUUUGAUGAUUUAUUUUGUUUGUAAUUAGUUAUUAUGAGAAGAUCUAGAUCCUAGAUAUUAGAAUAAAAUUUAUUUUCUACUGUAUCCAUUUCAAAUGUUAAAGUAUUGUUUAAUAUUUUUGAAAUCCCUGAAUAUCAGGCCUUGUUAUAAAUAAGCUGCAUAAUCAAUAAAUAGAACAAGGGACGUUUUGUUGAUAAUCCAAAUACUCAAAGUUUACGUGAGGAGAAUUUUAGCGUGUGUGCAAACUCUUGAGGGUUGAUGAUGCUGCAAUUUAGCAUGUUGGGAAGUCUAGAGAGAAGGUUGACUUUUUGCACUUCUGUAUAUAGUCAAAAGAGAGAAACCUGUAUAAUAGCAAGAUCUUAUUUUGAAUAAAAACGUCUAUAAUUACCAGGAGUUUUGUUAAGGCUAAUGAAAUGACAGACUGAGCAAAAUUGCUUGCAAAAGUGGCACAGAGUUAGCACUCCAUACCCUUCAAACACGUUGCUUUGCUUUUGUGGACAGCUUGUAGUUUGCCAGGAUUUUCCAGCUGGAAAGAUUUGCCAUCCUUCCGAGAUCUCAUGACUGACAAAACUCCAUUGGGCCAAAUCUGCCUGAAGAUCAUUACCAAAAAAUAGCAGGUACUUCAGUCACUAAGAUGAAAUCGUGGAUCAGAUAUUCCUUACAUUGUUUUCAAAUCUACUGCAUGUUUAAAACUUCAACAAAAAGAGAGAAAGAACUAUGCUAAGGACAUAUAUUAUUCAGAUCGAUAUCUACCAAUUUCAAUGGUUUAAUGUUCACAAAAUGAAAUCUUCAAAACAACUAUUGACUUUCACAAAAUGUAAACCAUAAGCAGGCAGACCAGACAGCACACCUGUAGUCCUUCUGUGGUUGUUUUAACCGCUUUAGAGCUUGUUCUUUCCGCAGGUGAAAACAAACUCCAAAUUUCACAGUUUUAAUUUCCAACUCAGAGCACUCAAAAGAGCAAAAUGUGACAAUGGCCACUUGUUUAAUGACCUGGUUGCCCAGCUGCCCCUCCAGCUGGCUACUGAUGUUGCACUUACCAGCAACCCACACUUUCAUCUGCUGAAAGGACAAUGUGCUCGGCUUUACUAUUAUGUAAUCACAACUUACUUUGCUUGUAGUUGCUUACAAUUAUGUAUUCUGUCUAGGGCUGCGAUUUGUUUUAUGCUUACUUUAUUAUUACUGCAGUAGUUGACUUUGCUGUAUGGAAAAAUAAAGUGAAAUUGCCCUAAUAAAACUUCUCUUUCUUAAGUAUAUUUGUG